rnacentral:rRNA from 1 species
AUUGAACGCUGGCGGCAGGCCUAACACAUGCAAGUCGAACGAGUGGCGGACGGGUGAGUAAUGUCUGGGAAACUGCCUGAUGGAGGGGGAUAACUACUGGAAACGGUAGCUAAUACCGCAUACCAUUAGAUGUGCCCAGAUGGGAUUAGCUUGUUGGUGGGGUAACGGCUCACCAAGGCGACGAUCCCUAGCUGGUCUGAGAGGAUGACCGGCCAAACGGGCACUGGGGGACGGUCCUGCGGCCUAGAGUAGGAAGGGGUGGAGAAGAUUGGAAAAUGGGCGAAUGCCGGAAGCAGCGAUGCAGCGUGUAUGAGUGGGGCAUGCGGGUUUUAGAGUAGUUACAGCGGUGAGCGGUUAGCCGCAGAAGAAGCGCCGGCUAACUCCGUGCCAGCAGCCGCGGUAAUAC